rnacentral:rRNA from 1 species
GGUCAAGCUACUAAGGGCGCAUGGUGGAUGCCUUGGCAUCGGGAGGCGAUGAAGGACGUGGUAAGCUGCGAUAAGCUUCGGUUAGCCGCUAAACAGGCUUUGAUCCGGAGAUUUCCGAAUGGGGAAACCCGGCAGGGAUUAUGCCCUGUCAUCGUGCACUGAAUACAUAGGUGUACGAGGCGAACGCAGGGAACUGAAACAUCUAAGUACCUGUAGGAGUAGAAAUCAAACGAGAUUCCGUAAGUAGCGGCGAGCGAACGCGGAACAGCCCAAACCGGCGUCACUAAGGUGAUACCGGGGUUGUGGGGCCCCAAUGUGGGAUUGGUAAAGAAUAGCAGAAGGUUCUGGAAAGGACCGCCAGAGUGGGUGAAAGCCCCGUAUGCGAAAUUCUGAUCCACCCUAGGGUGUCCCCGAGUACCACGGAACACGAGAAAUUCUGUGGGAAUCUGGGAGGACCAUCUUCCAAGGCUAAAUACUACCCGAUGACCGAUAGCGCAUAGUACCGUGAGGGAAAGGUGAAAAGAACUCCGAUGAGGAGAGUGAAAUAGAACCUGAAACCGUAUGCCUACAAGCAGUGGGAGCCCUAUGUCUUCGGACAGGGUGACCGCGUGCCUUUUGCAUAAUGAGUCAGCGAGUUACGCUCAGCAGCGAGGUUAAGCCGAUUAGGUGGAGCCGUAGCGAAAGCGAGUCUUAAUAGGGCGAUUUAGUUGCUGGGAGUAGACCCGAAACCGGGUGAUCUAUCCAUGGGCAGGGUGAAGCGAAGGUAACACUUCGUGAAGGCCCGAACCCACUUAGGUUGAAAACUGAGGGGAUGACGUGUGGAUAGGAGUGAAAGGCUAAUCAAACCUGGAGAUAGCUGGUUCUCCCCGAAAUAUAUUUAGGUAUAGCCUCGUAUGAAUCGUGUCGGAGGUAGAGCACUGGAUGGGCUAGGGGUCUUACCGGAUUACCAAACCUAACCAAACUCCGAAUGCCGGCAACGUAUGUACGGGAGUCAGACUGCGGGUGAUAAGAUCCGUAGUCGAGAGGGAAACAACCCAGAUCGCCAGCUAAGGUCCCUAAGUAUGUGCUAAGUGGCAAAGGAUGUGGAAAUGCACAGACAACCAGGAGGUUGGCUUAGAAGCAGCCACCCU